rnacentral:rRNA from 1 species
UACGAAGGGGGCUAGCGUUGCUCGGAAUCAUUGGGCGUAAAGCGCACGUAGGCGGCUUCAAAAGUCGGAUGUGAAAUCCCACGGCUCAACCGUGGACGUGCAUCCGAAACUGGGAGGCUUGAGUACUGAAGAGGAUCGCGGAAUUCCCGGUGUAGAGGUGAAAUUCGUAGAUAUCGGGAGGAACACCAGUGGCGAAGGCGGCGAUCUGGGCAGAUACUGACGCUGAGGCACGAAAGCGUGGGGAGCAAACAGG